UACAGAGGUCUCAAGCGUUGUUCGGAUUCAUUGGGCGUAAAGGGUGCGUAGGUGGCGCGCUAAGUCAGGUGUGAAAUUUCGAAGCUUAACUCCGAAACUGCAUUCGAUACUGCCGUGCUUGAGGACUGGAGAGGAGACUGGAAUUUACGGUGUAGCGGUGAAAUGCGUAGAUAUCGUAAGGAAGACCAGUGGCGAAGGCGGGUCUCUGGACAGUUCCUGACGCUGAGGCACGAAGGUCAGGGGAGCAAACGGG
rnacentral:rRNA from 1 species